UACGAAGGGGCUAGCGUUGUCCGGAUUUAUUGGGCGUAAAGAGCGUGUAGGCGGCCAGGUAGGUCCGUUGUGAAAACUCGAGGCUCAACCUCGAGACGUCGGCGGAAACCAUCUGGCUAGAGUCCGGAAGAGGAGAGUGGAAUUCCUGGUGUAGCGGUGAAAUGCGCAGAUAUCAGGAAGAACACCCGUGGCGAAGGCGGCUCUCUGGGACGGUACUGACGCUGAGACGCGAAAGCGUGGGGAGCAAACAGG
rnacentral:rRNA from 1 species